CUUUAGCAAGGCGGGAUCAAAAUCGUACGGUCCCCAAAAACGCUACCGACGAAAAGAAUAAUAAAAAAAAUUUGUCGAAAUACCAUCAGAAAUUAGCUAGCUCACUCUGCAAAAUAAUCGCUCCAUUAACCCGUCGAAGCUUGAGAUCCAGCGACGAGAGCACCAGAUCUCAGAUCAAAGGUACAUUUUCCCGCUAAUUUUGAGUUGUUGAUUUCGAUUUCUAGGGCGAUUUCACGUCCAUCGAGAUUUAGAUCUGGAAUCAGGUUGAAGCUUUCGCUUCGAGAAGUUUCUCGAUGUCGAGGAGAGCAGUUCCGUCUCGGCGUUUGGGCGAUGGCGGAAGCAUCCCGAUGGUCGGUUCGCUGAAUCCGAAGUCGAAAACCUCGCCAUUGCUCUCGAUUGUGCUCGUCCUUGUGGGCGCGUUUCUUAUAAUUGGAUACUUUUACACUGGAUCAGGUGGCAGUGAUAAGGAGUCCUUCAACAGGAUGGAAGGUGUUUCCUGCACAGCAGAGGUUCAUCAGGCAAUACCUGUUCUGCAGAAAGCAUAUGGUGACAGCAUGCAUAAAGUUUUGCAUGUGGGCCCUGAUACUUGUUCUGUGGUUUCUAAACUGUGGAAAGAAGAGGAAACUGAAGCUUGGGGUGUGGAACCAUAUGAUCUGGAAGAUGCUGAUAGUAGCUGCAAGAGCCUUGUUCGCAAGGGCAUUGUGCGUGUAGCUGAUAUCAAGUUCCCUCUACCUUACAGGCCAAAAUCAUUUUCGCUUGUAAUAGUGUCAGAUGCACUGGAUUAUUUAUCUCCAAAGUAUCUUAACAAGACCCUUCCGGACUUGGCAAGAGUAGCUGCAGAUGGUCUUGUUAUCUUUACUGGUUAUCCCGGUCAACAGAGGGCGAAAAUUUCUGAUCUAUCAAAAUUUGGAAGGCCGGCCAAGCAUCGGAGUGCUUCUUGGUGGGUCAGAUAUUUUUUCCAGACAGGCUUAGAAGAAAAUGAAAUAGCCAUGAAGAAAUUCGAGCAGGCUGCAAUCAAGAAGUCAUACAAGCCAAGCUGCCAAAUUUUCCACGUCAGCCCAUACAGUUGAUCUCGUCCUACAUUACGUUCCACCAUCUAAAGCUCUAUCCUUCCUGGAGGUCCGCAUUCAACCUUUAUGUGCUUCAAUUGUGCUUUGUUAGCCUGCUAUCCUAACAUAGUCAAGCUAAAGAGCUAUUGCCAACUCAGAGAUGCCGUUGCUAUAAUGCUUGUGGUCUAAUUUCUAGUGGUCUAGUGCUUCGGGUGGUUUUCCUCUGCCAAUCUCGCACGCACGCUAUGCAUGAUUAAUCAGUGUUAUGUUAUUCAUCCAAUUUUAACUUCAAAGCGCAUACAAAAGUCUGAUGUGUGUCAUUGGUGUUUGUAUCAUGCAGUUUUAAACUCCUGCGUGAUUAAUCCUUUUUUUUUAGUUCGAUGACAA